AGCAUAACUCUCCAUAAAUUAAUGUGAGCCCAUUAUAUCAAAGGUGUUUAUAUGUAUUAACAUAUGCAUUUAAUUUUAAUAUGUCUACUUAUGGCACAAUGUACCCCUUGUGGGGUACAGACACAGUACUUCCAAGACCGAGGCAGAAUCUGGGUAAGAUCCACGCUAGCUUGGAAGCGUCUAUAAAACUGAUAGCAAACCUAAGACAGAACUGGAUCACUUUCAAGUGUAACAUUCCAGCAAGUAAAAAAGAUUCCUCGAAGUGGCAAGUCUCGGUGCACCGCCCAUGCUUUUUGGGCUAGGAACAGAGAAGGUCAGGAACCCGAGAGCGGCCGGCGCGAGCGCCGCGGCGACUUUACCAGGGGCACCAGGCCGCCGCCGGCCCCAGCUCUCCUUCGCUCUUGCGCUGCCGGGGCCGAGGCGCUGCCCCGAGAGCGAGCGGGUUUGAGAAGGGGCGGAACUUGGGUUGGGGGUCCGCCUGAGAGACGUUUUCGGGGCCCUCCGGCGGAGCGAGCGACCUUACCAGCGGAACCUCCGGCCACGACCUGCUGAGAAGCCUCGCGCACUGAAUUUGCCCACGGUGGGUACAGUGACAGGCUGCUGUCAUCCCAAACUACCUGGAGGCUGACAUUGGGAGGAUCAUGUUUCCAGACUGCCCAGGGCACCUUUCUCAGUACCGUGGUUCUUUACCUUCCAUAUUGAUGACUGAUGGUCAGGAUGACUUCACGUGUUAUGGCUUCACUCCAGCAUCACAAAUGGAAGAGCAGCAGCAAAAGCCUUCUCUUCAUGAGGCUGUUUAUUUUGGAAAGGCAGUCCUCCACUUGACAUUCCAUUAUAGUGCAUGUCAUUAGCAGAACUAGAUUAUACACCACCUACAGUUCAGUCACUAGCAAAGAA